GAUGAGCCAUAGUAUGGCCUCUUACAGUAUUUUCACCAUACAGAUAAAAUAGGAAUUACUUCCCAAAAAUGUUAAUCACAACUGGAUUAAAAGAGUAUUUGAGAAAUGUGGCAACGUUGUUUAUAUAAGCAUACCACAUUAUAAAUCUACUGGAGAUCCAAAGGGAUUUGCCUUUGUGGAAUUUGAAACAGAAGAACAAGCAGCAAAAGCUAUUGAGAUGAGGGAGGCAACACCCAAAGAGAGGAAAUCAUAUAACCGGCCAUCGGCAUCUAUUCUCAGUUUCUCCAGGAUGCCUAGCGCAUGCCAGGCACGGUUCUAGUACCAGAGAUUCAGCAGAAAACAAGACCAUGAAGUCCUUGCUCUUCUAAAACUUAAAUUCUGGUAGGAAGCGACAG